rnacentral:rRNA from 1 species
GAGCGGCGAACGGGUGAGUAACACAUCGGAACGGACCCCGUCGUGGGGGAUAACGAGUCGAAAGAUUCGCUAAUACCGCAUACGACCUGAGGGUGAAAGCGGGGGACCUGCGAGGGCCUCGCGCGAUGGGAGCGGCCGAUGUCCGAUUAGCUAGUUGGUGGGGUAAGAGCCUACCAAGGCGACGAUCGGUAGCUGGUCUGAGAGGAUGAUCAGCCACACUGGGACUGAGACACGCCCCAGACUCCUACGGGAGGCAGCAGUGGGGAAUUUUGGACAAUGGGCGCAAGCCUGAUCCAGCCAUUCCGCGUGAGUGAAGAAGGCCUUCGGGUUGUAAAGCUCUUUCGGCCGGGAAGAAAUCGGGCAGGUGAAUAAUCUGCCUGGAUGACGGUACCGGAAGAAGAAGCACCGGCUAACUACGUGCCAGCAGCCGCGGUAAUACGUAGGGUGCGAGCGUUAAUCGGAAUUACUGGGCGUAAAGCGUGCGCAGGCGGCUUUGUAAGACAGGUGUGAAAUCCCCGGGCUUGACCUGGGAAUGGCGCUUGUGACUGCAAGGCUUGAGUUCGGCAGAGGGGGGUGGAAUUCCACGUGUAGCAGUGAAAUGCGUAGAGAUGUGGAGGAACACCGAUGGCGAAGGCAGCCCCCUGGGUCGCGACUGACGCUCAUGCACGAAAGCGUGGGGAGCAAACAGGAUUAGAUACCCUGGUAGUCCACGCCCUAAACGAUGUCGACUAGGUGUUGGGGAAGGAGACUUCUUUAGUACCGUAGCUAACGCGUGAAGUCGACCGCCUGUGAGUACGGUCGCAAGAUUAAAACUCAAAGGAAUUGACGGGGACCCGCACAAGCGGUGGAUGAUGUGGAUUAAUUCGAUGCAACGCGAAAAACCUUACCUACCCUUGACAUGCCAGGAACCUUGCUGAGAGGUGAGGGUGCCCGAAAGGGAGCCUGGACACAGGUGCUGCAUGGCUGUCGUCAGCUCGUGUCGUGAGAUGUUGGGUUAAGUCCCGCAACGAGCGCAACCCUUGUCGCUAAUUGCCAUCAUUCAGUUGGGCACUUUAGCGAGACUGCCGGUGACAAACCGGAGGAAGGUGGGGAUGACGUCAAGUCCUCAUGGCCCUUAUGGGUAGGGCUUCACACGUCAUACAAUGGUCGGUACAGAGGGCUGCUAACCCGCGAGGGGGCGCUAAUCUCGCAAAGCCGAUCGUAGUCCGGAUUGCAGUCUGCAACUCGACUGCAUGAAGUCGGAGUCGCUAGUAAUCGUGGAUCAGCAUGUCACGGUGAAUACGUUCCCGGGUCUUGUACACACCGCCCGUCACACCAUGGGAGUGGGUUCCACCAGAAGUAGGUAGCUUAACCGCAAGGGGGGCGCUUACCACGGU